AAUAUUGGGCAAUGGGCGAAAGCCUGACCCAGCGACGCCGCGUGGGCGAUGAAGGCCUUCGGGUUGUAAAGCCCUGUCAUGCGGAAAGAACGACCCUGAGACGCAUACUCUCAGGGAGUGACGGUACCGCAGGAGGAAGCACCGGCUAACUCCGUGCCAGCAGCCGCGGUAAUACGGAGGGUGCAAGCGUUGUUCGGAAUUAUUGGGCGUAAAGGGCGCGUAGGCGGUAAUGCAAGUCAGAUGUGAAAUACUCCGGCUCAACUGGGGAACUGCAUCUGAAACUGCAUAACUAGAGUACAGAAGAGGGAAACGGAAUUCCCGGUGUAGAGGUGAAAUUCGUAGAUAUCGGGAGGAACACCAGUGGCGAAGGCGGUUUCCUGGUCUGAUACUGACGCUGAGGCGCGAAAGUGUGGGGAGCAAACAGGAUUAGA
rnacentral:rRNA from 1 species